CAGUAGCCGCGGUAAUACGGAGGGGGCUAGCGCUGUUCGGAAUUACUGGGCGUAAAGCGCACGUAGGCGGCUUGGUAAGUUAGAGGUGAAAGCCUGGAGCUCAACUCCAGAAUUGCCUUUAAGACUGCCGAGCUAGUAGGUGAGAGAGGUAAGUGGAAUUCCGAGUGUAGAGGUGAAAUUCGUAGAUACUCGGAAGAACACCAGUGGCGAAGGCGGCUUACUGGCUCAUUCUAGACGCUGAGGUGCGAAAGCGUGGGGAGCAAACAGGAUUAGAUACCCCUGUAGUCCCUGUCUCUUAUAC
rnacentral:rRNA from 1 species